rnacentral:rRNA from 1 species
AGUGGACGCUGGCGGUAGGCCUAACACAUGCAAGUCGAACGGCAGCACAGUAAGAGCUUGCUCUUACGGGUGGCGAGUGGUGGACGGGUGAGGAAUACAUCGGAAUCUACUUUUUCGUGGGGGAUAACGUAGGGAAACUUACGCUAAUACCGCAUACGACCUACGGGUGAAAGCAGUGGAUCUUCGGACCUUGCGCGAUUGAAUGAGCCGAUGUCGGAUUAGCUAGUUGGCGGGGUAAAGGCCCACCAAGGCGACGAUCCGUAGCUGGUCUGAGAGGAUGAUCAGCCACACUGGAACUGAGACACGGUCCAGACUCCUACGGGAGGCAGCAGUGGGGAAUAUUGGACAAUGGGCGCAAGCCUGAUCCAGCCAUACCGCGUGGGUGAAGAAGGCCUUCGGGUUGUAAAGCCCUUUUGUUGGGAAAGAAAGGCAGCAGGUUAAUACCCCGCUGUUCUGACGGUACCCAAAGAAUAAGCACCGGCUAACUUCGUG